UUCUGUUGAUCCUUUUCUGUGCCUUUCACUUCCGAACUACAGUUCCAUUUCAUUAGAAUUGUUUUCUUUGUUGUAUCUCUAGACUCUCUGCGUAAGAUUCCCAAUGGGAACUACCCCAACUUGACCCAAUUUGGCAUGCAUUGUGUAUUUUGAGAUUUCAAGGUAACUGCUGCUAAUGGAAGAAAACUAAAGCGUAUUGCAUGCUCUUUUAAGGUAGAAUGACCUUAUCAUCUUCCAACAAACUCAAGAAAUGCAUGCUCUGAUGAGUUGAAUUUUAAGAUUUCGAGAAGGAAUGAAAGCUGUAGAAGAAAACAUAGGGCUGAGAUCUCUCCAAGGCGAUUGUGGGGAGGUUUGCCAAUUGACCUUAGUGAAGUCAAAAAACAAAUAUAGUUCAUUUGUGUUUGGAGGGGCGGCCUUCAUCUGAUCUGACCGCAUGGAAAAGCUCUCUUUGUGUUGAUGAAGAAUUCUUCAUCUCAAACAAGAUAAACUAAUGUUAAACCCUGGGGGGCACAUCUUCGUUUGGUUUUCUUGCAAGAAAACGUUAUCGGAUGAUGAUGAUGCUGUUGAAAGUUACUUUCUAUGUAAUGCCAUAUGCAGCCAGUUUGUUGGCCUUUGUCUAUGAAUCCUUCAAAGACAGCCU